UGCUUGACUCUGAAGGUGAGUGGUGAG
rnacentral:piRNA from 1 species